rnacentral:tRNA from 1 species
GCCCCGGUAGCUUAGCCCGGUAGAGCGACGGCCUUGUAAGCCGUAGGCCGCGGGUUCGAAGCCCGCCCGGGGCUCCA